rnacentral:rRNA from 1 species
AUUGAACGCUGGCGGCAUGCUUUACACAUGCAAGUCGAGCGGCAGCGCGUCCCCGUAAGGGGAUGGCGGCGAGCGGCGAACGGGUGAGUAAUGCAUCGGAACGUGUCCCGUAGAGGGGGAUAGCCCGGCGAAAGCCGGAUUAAUACCGCAUAUGCUCUACGGAGGAAAGCGGGGGACUCGCAAGGGCCUCGCGCUAUGGGGAGCGGCCGAUGUCCGAUUAGCUGUUGGCGGGGUAAUGGCCCACCAAGGCGACGAUCGGUAGCUGGUCUGAGAGGAUGAUCAGCCACACUGGGACUGAGACACGGCCCAGACUCCUACGGGAGGCAGCAGUGGGAAUUUUGGACAAUGGGGAAACCCUGAUCCAGCCAUGCCGCGUGAGUGAAGAAGGCC